CCUAAUAGUCAAAACCAGACCUUCCUGCGAGUUCUCCCCCGCAAGUUCUUCUUCCAGUCUAAUCACCCAGUUUUCUUGCAAAAAUCUCAACUCUUCCCCGCCCAAGUUCUUCUCUUGGGCUAUCGGAUUUCGCGACAGGGGUUGUGUGUUCAAUCGAGGACGAAUAGAGCAUCUCAUAUUGUGAUUUCUAAUCAUAAAUUCAGAUGCGACAGAGUUUCUAAACUUGGUAGAUGACUCGGUUCAAGCAUAUCAAAGUCUUAUGCACGAUUUUGAUGAGUUUCUGAAGAACUAUGACAAGGUAGCUAUACCUUCUAGCUAAAAUCCCAGACACCCAAAUCUAGCUAUCUAUGCCUUCUGUCUUCUCAAGUUCUCAGUGCAAAUUUGUAUUUAUGAUUGGCGGUAGCUCUAGACUCAAAUCUAUGCCCAGCCACCAUUCCCUCAAACUUUAGCGAGAACCAACAAGCGUCGUCAUCUCCACCCCUCUCUAUUGUCUCGCACUGGUGAAAUUGGUAGAGUUGUUCAAGCGAUGCCAAUUGGAAGUACCAUAAGUAUUUUCUUGAGUUUGCUGCAAAAACAGGAGUUUAAAUGCUAAGAACAUAUUCUCUAGGUAUGUUAUUAAGCUUGAUACACUCAAUCCAUAUAUAAAGUUAAAAUUGAGGUAAUAUAUUCAAUUCCCAUCUCCAUCAUUAUUACAAUCUAUUCCACUUUAAAUUUUCUCUGUGCCUCAGUAGAAUAUGAUAGGUCAAGUAUUAUCUUGCAAUUGGAGUUUUUCUUUGUUACCAUCGGCAUGGGUCCAAUGUUUGGUUUAUUAGCUAGAUAAGUACUCCUCUAAUUUCCUUGAUGGUUGCUUUGGAAGAUGAUAAAAAACUUUUCAAUUAUAUUGAUAUGUGUUGUUUAGUCAUCCAUGUUCAGGAAGACACUACUACAAAAAUCGAAACACACAACACUCAUCACACAACGGAACAAAAAUCUGCUGUUGUGUGUUAACACAAACUCUAUCAUACAACGGUACAAAUCUGUUUCUGUUGUGCGAAUGCAAGCAAAUUGAAAAAAAAAAAAAUUUAGGAAGAUAUUGCACAACUGAGUUUAGAAUUUUCUGUUGUGUAAAUGUGAGGCCUAGAAUGGAGGGAAAUGAGCACAUAAUUCCCUCCCAAAACGAGCUCACCAAAAUGGAAUUUGAACUAGCACACAACAGUUUUUUGUUAUCUGUUGUACAACGAAUGUUGUAUGAACUUUGAGAAAUCCUACUUAGUACACCUAGUGUAAGAUCCCCAAAUUUGUACAACAGAUUGUCAUGGUUCUGUUGUCUGAGCAUGGAAGCAAGUUGCACAGCGCGGCAAAUUUUCAAUUUGAUGAAACCUAUGUAGGCACAGGCGGCAAAUUUUCCCUCCCAGCCUGCUUUGUUAUCAUGUACUCACACAACAGUGCUUUAUUUAUAUGUUGUUGGAAAAACUUGAGACAAAUUGAAGUUUCCCACCAAACAACUUAAUUGAAACCUUUAUCCCCAUUUACUCCCACCAAAUCCGAUGACCACUAUUACUCCUUCCAAAACAGCCCUAUUUGCUCCCUCCAACCAGCAACCCAUAUACUUGAAAUCAAAACCUAGCUAACCACUUACACCGUUUCGUUUCUCUUCAGCCUAGAAAUCAAACCCAUUUGCUGCGGAUUUCUUGAAACCCUAGAAAUCAAAAUGGGAAGAAUAUAUGCUCCGGCGAAGGUGGGUUUUGUUUUGGCUUCGUUUUAGUCAAACCCUAUAUUGGAUUGGUUUGUGAGUACAAUAGAUUGGGGGUUCCAGUUUUCGCUUCCCACAUGCCCAAGCGUGAGCGGCCAUCAACAGAUAGCCCGGACUCUCGACCAGAUUGCUCUCUCUUGUGAACCCACUCUCUCAGUCCUCUCUCGUGAACCUCUCUCUCUCUCUCUCUCUCUCUCUCUCUCUCUCUCUCUCUCUCUCCCUUCCCUGACAAAAUGUUUGUUUACAGAAAUUGAAAUGGGUUAUGGGUUUGUCAUUGCGAGUAAUUGUGAUUAGAUUUAGGGUUCUGCAUCUGCUUAGAUUGGGGAUUUGUUCUGCACUUGUGCAUCUCUGUGAUUGGGGCUUUGUCUUUACUUGAGAUUUAGGGUUUGUUCUACAUCCUCAAUUACUCCAAAUACUCAGCUGGGAACAACACUCCGGCCUCAGUCUAUGAUGCCCGUCGUUGACCUCAAUAUUUACUUCUACGACGAGCGCGAGAUCGACAGCCUCAGGGCCUUGUUAUUCGGCAGGGAUGGCCCCAUUGACUCCAUGCCAACUCUUGCUUGAAAGGCCAGUGGGGCACUUAGGUUUCAAUUUGGCUUCCCUUGCCACCGUGGUAGUCCAGUUUUGGUCCUCAGGCUACGAUAUCCAAUGGGACUGUGUAUGAGAAGGAGAUUGAGCCCCUUGGUCCAGCUACAUAUUAUGUGACUGACACAAACAGAUGGGGAGUUAGCAAUGUCGAUCUUAAAACACAGUUUGUAGCUGCAUCAUAUUUGACUGGGACCAACAUUCCAAAGUAUAUAUACAAUAUCCACUUCAUCUCCAAUCGGAAAUACUUCAAACCCUACGCUAUUUCAGAGUGCAAGGAUCUCUGCUUCAUCACUCAGAUACUAUGGCUUGGGUCUUGAGAAUGGAAACUAUACCGUGAAGCUUGAAUUUGCAGAACAAGCUAUCCUAGAUACCCUUAAAAGAAAAAGUCUUGGAAGACGUGUGUUUGAUAUAUAUAUAUAUAUAUAUAUAUAUAUAUCCAGGAUGUUCUUGUUGUUAAAGAUUUUGAUAUACGGAAGGAGACAAAUAAAGACAUCUUUGCUAGCUAUUGAAAAGGUAUACAAGGCUCAAGUGGUUUCAGAGAAUUACCUUGAAAUCCAUUUCUUCUGGGCUGGAAAGGGGACUUGCUGUAUACCAAAGGAGGGUACUUAUGGACCUCUUGUUUCAGCCAUCAGUGCUACACCUAGUAAAGUAAAUGAAAAUUAUAGUCGGACCAGUAUAUUAGUUUAUGAUCGAUGCUUUCUUUCACACUGUACUCCAUGUUGUUGACUAAAGAGCUUUAAUUUCUAUAGAAUUCAAACCUACUGUCAGCAACAAGCUGCCAAGUAGUAAGAAGAAUAGGACUGGGCUUAUUGUGGGAAUUGUUGUUGGUUGUGGAGUUUUAAUUCUGGUGGUGCUGCUUUUAUAUACUGUUCAAGGAAGAAAGAGGCACAACACUGAUGAUGACUAUGAUGAAGAGCUGUUGGGAAUAGAUCUUGGACCUCUCACUUUCAGUUUUUCUGAACUGAAGGCAGCUACAAAUGACUUUAGUAGAUAAUAAGCUUGGAGAGGGAGGAUUUGGGCCUGUCUUCAAAUUUAUCUGGACAGGUCUCAUACUAGCAGUCUCGUGAAUGCCUUCAGAAGCAACUUGAAGGAUGUUGGUUUGAUCAUAUCCCAGAGGUCAUGAGAAAUGAAUGGGCAGGCUGUAAAGCAGAAAUAUGAUGCUGAAACAGCAGCAAAGGCAGCUGCUGCAACUGUCUUUGGCAUCCAAGUUGGGUGUGGAUUCAGGCCUAAGAUUCCAUGUAGGAGAUGAAUCUAGAACUAAUACUGCACUAGAUAAUGAACUUUUCCAUCAGAAUCCUCAAGCAUAUGCUGCAAAAGAUGGAAAUUGGAUUGCUCGUAUUGCAACAUUGCUUAUGGGUGAGGAUCGAACACAAUCUUGUAUAGCUUAUGAAAUUGGAAGGCUUAGUUCAAUGAAAUGUUUAAAUGCUUAUAAAAUUGUAUAUAGUGAAUCGAUUGGAGUUUGUUUUGAUGUAUCAAAGUUACUUUUAGCAUUAAUAUAAAAUUAUUGAU